rnacentral:rRNA from 1 species
AUUGAACGCUGGCGGCAGGCCUAACACAUGCAAGUCGAACGAGUGGCGGACGGGUGAGUAAUGUCUGGGAAACUGCCCGAUGGAGGGGGAUAACUACUGGAAACGGUAGCUAAUACCGCAUACCAUCGGAUGUGCCCAGAUGGGAUUAGCUAGUAGGUGGGGUAAUGGCUACACUGGGCGACGAUCCCUAGCUGGUCUGAGAGGAUGACCAGGAACAAUGGAACGGAGACACGGUCCAGAUGCCGACGGGAGGCAGCAGUGGGGAAUAUUGCACAAUGGGCGAAAGCCUGAUGAAGCCAUGCCGCGUGUAUGAAGAAGGCCUUCGGGUGGUAAAGUACGUUCAGCGAGGAGGCGUUACUCGCAGAAGAAGCACCGGCUAACUCCGUGCCAGCAGCCGCGGUAAUUC